AGCCCUAGACACACUGACUCCAAAACUUCACGGUCAUACUCAGACCCCGACUCUUUCUUUCCAAAACUCCACUGCGACUACCAGCCCGACCCCAACUCUCUCCGACACUGAAGCCCUCGACCCUAAAUCCUCCGCCUCCGAAGCCCUCGACCUUAAAUCCACUGCCUCCGAAGCCCUCAAGCCUUGAACCCCAACUCUCUGGUACCAAUCCGAAGCCCUAAAUCUGAGAUUUGUCUUCGAAUCUGAGUUUUGAUCAACUGGAAGGUUUCGGGUUCUUCACUUUUGGGAAGAUGGAGUAUUGUGGUGGAGAUGUUCUCAGCUCCGCCCCCGAUAUGUUAGAAGCAGAAGUAUGGGAAGAUGGAGAUUGUGGUGGAGCAGAAUUCGAGGAUGUAAGCCACGCUCCCAAAGGCUCUGUCAAGAAGUUUAGAAUCUGUUUCCAGAAUAUGUGUUGGUACAUAGAAUGUUGGACGACAGACUCCACCCGAUGACCUGGAUAUUGAUGGUUGGCUAGAUAUCAAUGACCUAGC